GUACGUAGGGUGCGAGCGUUGUCCGGAAUUACUGGGCGUAAAGAGCUCGUAGGUGGUUUGUCGCGUCGUCUGUGAAAUUCCGGGGCUUAACUCCGGGCGUGCAGGCGAUACGGGCAUAACUUGAGUACUGUAGGGGAGACUGGAAUUCCUGGUGUAGCGGUGAAAUGCGCAGAUAUCAGGAGGAACACCGGUGGCGAAGGCGGGUCUCUGGGCAGUAACUGACGCUGAGGAGCGAAAGCAUGGGUAGCGAACAGGAUUAGAUACCCUGGUAGUCCAUGCCGUAAACGGUGGGCGCUAGGUGUAGGGGUCUUCCACGACUUCUGUGCCGUAGCUAACGCAUUAAGCGCCCCGCCUGGGGAGUACGGCCGCAAGGCUAAAACUCAAAUGAAUUGACGGGG
rnacentral:rRNA from 1 species